rnacentral:rRNA from 1 species
GUCCUUAGUUUACCAGCACGUUAUGUGGGCACUCUAAGGAGACUGCCGGUGACAACCGGAGGAAGUGGGGAUGACGUCAAGUCAUCAUGGCCCUUACGGCCUGGGCUACACACGUGCUACAAUGGUCGGUACAAAGGGUUGCCAAGCCGCGAGGUGGAGCUAAUCCCAUAAAACCGAUCGUAGUCCGGAUCGCAGUCUGCAACUCGACUGCGUGAAGUCGGAAUCGCUAGUAAUCGUGAAUCAGAAUGUCACGGUGAAUACGUUCCCGGGCCUU